rnacentral:misc_RNA from 1 species
GAUGAAGAACGCAGCGAAAUGCGAUAAGUAAUGUGAAUUGCAGAAUUCAGUGAAUCAUCGAAUCUUUGAACGCACCUUGCGCUCCUUGGUAUUCCGAGGAGCAUGCCUGUUUGAGUGUCAUUAAAUUCUCAACCUUAUUGGCUUUUGCUGAUAAUGGCUUGGACUUGGGGGUCUUUUUGCUGGCUUUCAUUAGUCUGCUCCCCUUAAAUGUAUUAGCCGGUGCCCCGCAGUGGAACCGUCUAUUGGUGUGAUAAUUAUCUACGCCGUGGACGUCUGCUAUAAUGGGUUUGCGCUGCUUCUAACCGUCUCUCGGGACAACACAAAUGACAAUUUGACCUCAAAUCAGGUAGGACUACCCGCUGAACUUAAGCAUAUCAAUAAGCGGAGGA